rnacentral:rRNA from 1 species
AUUGAACGCUGGCGGCAGGCUUAACACAUGCAAGUCGAGCGGGGAAAAGUAGCUUGCUACUUGACCUAGCGGCGGACGGGUGAGUAAUGCUUAGGAAUCUGCCUAUUAGUGGGGGACAACAUCUCGAAAGGGAUGCUAACACCGCAUACGUCCUACGGGAGAAAGCAGGGGACCUUCGGGCCUUGCGCUAAUAGAUGAGCCUAAGUCGGAUUAGCCAGUUGGUGGGGUAAAGGCCUACCAAGGCGACGAUCUGUAGCGGGUCUGAGAGGAUGAUCCGCCACACUGGGACUGAGACACGGCCCAGACUCCUACGGGAGGCAGCAGUGGGGAAUAUUGGACAAUGGGGGGAACCCUGAUCCAGCCAUGCCGCGUGUGUGAAGAAGGCCUUUUGGUUGUAAAGCACUUUAAGCGAGGAGGAGGCUACCGAGAUUAAUACUCUUGGAUAGUGGACGUUACUCGCAGAAUAAGCACCGGCUAACUCUGUGCCAGCCGCCGCGGUAACAC